GCCCUUGUAGCUUAAACACUUAAAGCAUUGGUCUUGUAAACCAAAAAUGGACACUAAAUGCCCCAAGGACA
rnacentral:tRNA from 1 species